UACAGAGGGUGCAAGCGUUUAAUCGGAAUUACUGGGGCGUAAAGCGUGCGUAGACGGUUAUGUAAAGUCGGAUGUGAAAGCCCCCGGGCUCAACCUGGGAAUUGCAUUCGAGACUGCAUAGCUAGGAUGCGGAAGAGGGAAGUGGAAUUUCCGGUGUAGCGGUGAAAUGCGUAGAUAUCGGAAGGAACAUCAGUGGCGAAAGCGACUUCCUGGUCCAGCAUCGACGUCAGGCACGAAAAGCGUGGGGGAGCAAACAGG
rnacentral:rRNA from 1 species